rnacentral:sRNA from 1 species
GCAAUUCCCGGUUCUAAAGUCCCCACGCACCCCCCGGUACUCAGAUUCUUCCCAGACGCGGAGGUUCGGGUCAUGGCGCCCCGAACCCUCCUCCUGCUGCUCUCAGGGGCCCUGGCCCUGACCGAGACCUGGGCGGGUGAGUGCGUGGUCGAGAGAGAAACGGCCUCUACAAGGAGGAGUGAGGGACCAGCCUGGCGGGGGGCGCAGGACUCGGGGAGCCGCGCCCGGAGGAGGGUCGGGCUAGUCUCAGCCCCUCCUCGCCCCCAGGCUCCCACUCCUUGAGGUAUUUCAGCACCGCUGUGUCGCGGCCCGGCCGCGGGGAGCCCCGGUACAUCGCCGUGGAGUACGUGGACGACACGCAGUUCCUGCGGUUUGACAGCGACGCGGCGAUUCCGAGGAUGGAGCCGCGGGCGCCGUGGGUGGAGCAAGAGGGGCCGCAGUAUUGGGAGUGGACCACAGGGUACGCCAAGGCCAACGCACAGACUGACCGAGUGGCCCUGAAGAACCUGCUCCGCCGCUACAACCAGAGCGAGGCCGGAUCUCACACCCUCCAGGGAAUGAAUGGCUGCGACAUGGGGCCCGACGGACGCCUCCUCCGCGGGUAUCACCAGCACGCGUACGACGGCAAGGAUUACAUCUCCCUGAACGAGGACCUGCGCUCCUGGACCGCGGCGGACACCGUGGCUCAGAUCACCCAGCGCUUCUAUGAGGCAGAGGAAUAUGCAGAGGAGUUCAGGAUCUACCUGGAGGGCGAGUGCCUAGAGUUGCUCCGCAGAUACC